rnacentral:rRNA from 1 species
UGACUGCGUACCUUUUGUAUAAUGGGUCAGCGACUUAUAUUCUGUAGCAAGGUUAACCGUAUAGGGGAGCCGGAGGGAAACCGAGUCUUAAUUGGGCGUUAAGUUGCAGGGUAUAGACCCGAAACCCGGUGAUCUAGCCAUGGGCAGGUUGAAGGUUGGGUAACACUAACUGGAGGACCGAACCGACUAAUGUUGAAAAAUUAGCGGAUGACCUGUGGCUGGGGGUGAAAGGCCAAUCAAACCGGGAGAUAGCUGGUUCUCCCCGAAAGCUAUUUAGGUAGCGCCUCGUGAAUUCAUCUCCGGGGGUAGAGCACUGUUUCGGCUAGGGGGCCAUCCCGGCUUACCAACCCGAUGCAAACUGCGAAUACCGGAGAAUGUUAUCACGGGAGACACACGGCGGGUGCUAACGUCCGUCGUGAAGAGGGAAACAACCCAGACCGCCAGCUAAGGUCCCAAAGUCAUGGUUAAGUGGGAAACGAUGUGGGAAGGCCCAGACAGCCAGGAUGUUGGCUUAGAAGCAGCCAUCAUUUAAAGAAAGCGUAAUAGCUCACUGGUCGAGUCGGCCUGCGCGGAAGAUGUAACGGGGCUAAACCAUGCACCGAAGCUGCGGCAGCGAACGUAUCACCCAAGACAACUUUACGGAGUUGACGAUUGACGGAGCGAAGCGACGUCAAAGCGUUCAUUAAAGUCGAGUUGGCUUAGGGAUACGUUCGUUGGGUAGGGGAGCGUUCUGUAAGCCUGUGAAGGUGUGUCGUGAGGCAUGCUGGAGGUAUCAGAAGUGCGAAUGCUGACAUAAGUAACGAUAAAGCGGGUGAAAAGCCCGCUCGCCGGAAGACCAAGGGUUCCUGUCCAACGUUAAUCGGGGCAGGGUGAGUCGACCCCUAAGGCGAGGCCGAAAGGCGUAGUCGAUGGGAAACGGGUUAAUAUUCCCGUACUUGGUGUUACUGCGAAGGGGGGACGGAGAAGGCUAUGUUGGCCGGGCGACGGUUGUCCCGGUUUAAGCGUGUAGGUGUGUGUUCCAGGUAAAUCCGGUUCACUUUAACACUGAGGCGUGACGACGAGGCACUACGGUGCUGAAGCAACAAAUGCCCUGCUUCCAGGAAAAGCCUCUAAGCAUCAGGUAACACGAAAUCGUACCCCAAACCGACACAGGUGGUCAGGUAGAGAAUACCAAGGCGCUUGAGAGAACUCGGGUGAAGGAACUAGGCAAAAUGGUGCCGUAACUUCGGGAGAAGGCACGCUGACACGUAGGUGAAGUGAUUUACUCAUGGAGCUGAAGUCAGUCGAAGAUACCAGCUGGCUGCAACUGUUUAUUAAAAACACAGCACUGUGCAAACACGAAAGUGGACGUAUACGGUGUGACGCCUGCCCGGUGCCGGAAGGUUAAUUGAUGGGGUCAGCGUAAGCGAAGCUCCUGAUCGAAGCCCCGGUAAACGGCGGCCGUAACUAUAACGGUCCUAAGGUAGCGAAAUUCCUUGUCGGGUAAGUUCCGACCUGCACGAAUGGCGUAAUGAUGGCCAGGCUGUCUCCACCCGAGACUCAGUGAAAUUGAACUCGCUGUGAAGAUGCAGUGUACCCGCGGCAAGACGGAAAGACCCCGUGAACCUUUACUAUAGCUUGACACUGAACAUUGAGCCUUGAUGUGUAGGAUAGGUGGGAGGCUUUGAAGUGUGGACGCCAGUCUGCAUGGAGCCGACCUUGAAAUACCACCCUUUAAUGUUUGAUGUUCUAACGUGGACCCGUAAUCCGGGUUGCGGACAGUGUCUGGUGGGUAGUUUGACUGGGGCGGUCUCCUCCUAAAGAGUAACGGAGGAGCACGAAGGUUGGCUAAUCCUGGUCGGACAUCAGGAGGUUAGUGCAAUGGCAUAAGCCAGCUUGACUGCGAGCGUGACGGCGCGAGCAGGUGCGAAAGCAGGUCAUAGUGAUCCGGUGGUUCUGAAUGGAAGGGCCAUCGCUCAACGGAUAAAAGGUACUCCGGGGAUAACAGGCUGAUACCGCCCAAGAGUUCAUAUCGACGGCGGUGUUUGGCACCUCGAUGUCGGCUCAUCACAUCCUGGGGCUGAAGUAGGUCCCAAGGGUAUGGCUGUUCGCCAUUUAAAGUGGUACGCGAGCUGGGUUUAGAACGUCGUGAGACAGUUCGGUCCCUAUCUGCCGUGGGCGCUGGAGAACUGAGGGGGGCUGCUCCUAGUACGAGAGGACCGGAGUGGACGCAUCACUGGUGUUCGGGUUGUCAUGCCAAUGGCACUGCCCGGUAGCUAAAUGCGGAAGAGAUAAGUGCUGAAAGCAUCUAAGCACGAAACUUGCCCCGAGAUGAGUUCU